GCCGGGAUAGCUUAGCUGGGAGAGCAACAGACGGAAGCCUGUUUUGAGCAUUUUGGAGGUCGCGUGUUCAAUCCACGCUCCUGGGA